rnacentral:rRNA from 1 species
AGAGUUUGAUCAUGGCUCAGGACGAACGCUGGCGGCGUGCUUAACACAUGCAAGUCGAACGAUGAACCGGUUUCGGCCGGGGAUUAGUGGCGAACGGGUGAGUAACACGUGGGUAAUCUGCCCCGCACUCUGGGAUAAGCCCGGGAAACUGGGUCUAAUACCGGAUAUACAUCGAUGGUCGCAUGGCCUGUCGGUGGAAAGCUUUUGCGGUGUGGGAUGGGCCCGCGGCCUAUCAGCUUGUUGGUGGGGUGAUGGCCUACCAAGGCGACGACGGGUAGCAGGCCUGAGAGGGUGACCGGCCACACUGGGACUGAGACACGGCCCAGACUCCUACGGGAGGCAGCAGUGGGGAAUAUUGCACAAUGGGCGAAAGCCUGAUGCAGCGACGCCGCGUGAGGGAUGACGGCCUUCGGGUUGUAAACCUCUUUCAGCAGGGAAGAAGCGCAAGUGACGGUACCUGCAGAAGAAGCACCGGCUAACUACGUGCCAGCAGCCGCGGUAAUACGUAGGGUGCAAGCGUUGUCCGGAAUUAUUGGGCGUAAAGAGCUCGUAGGCGGCUUGUCACGUCGGUUGUGAAAGCCCGGGGCUUAACCCUGGGUCUGCAGUCGAUACGGGCAGGCUAGAGUUCGGCAGGGGAGACUGGAAUUCCUGGUGUAGCGGUGAAAUGCGCAGAUAUCAGGAGGAACACCGGUGGCGAAGGCGGGUCUCUGGGCCGAUACUGACGCUGAGGAGCGAAAGCGUGGGGAGCGAACAGGAUUAGAUACCCUGGUAGUCCACGCUGUAAACGGUGGGAACUAGGUGUGGGCAGCAUUCCACGUUGUCUGUGCCGUAGCUAACGCAUUAAGUUCCCCGCCUGGGGAGUACGGCCGCAAGGCUAAAACUCAAAUGAAUUGACGG